GGAGGCGUGGCAGAGCGGCCGAAUGCACUGGUCUUGAAAACCAGCGAUGGGCAACCAUCCGCGGGUUCAAAUCCCGCCGCCUCCG
rnacentral:tRNA from 1 species